AUAAAAUUCGGUGACCCGAUGAGAAGUCCACCUCAUAGCCCUAAUUAUUUUUUUUAAUUUCUUGCUCCUCUCUCUCUCUCUCUCUCUCUCUAUAUGUAUAGCAGCCAGAGGGUGCUGAAGAACUUGUCAAGAGAUUGAUUUGAUUUGGUCGGAGUUUGUUCGCGCUUCAAUCUGAAAAUUUUCUGCUCGUUGGAUUGUUUGGAUUAGAUUUUUGCAGAGAAGAUCGAAGGAGAGAAGAUGAUGGUGGAGUUCUUUCUGCUGGGGUGCACCGGCGUUGUGGUGUUCCUUCACGGAGCCAAUUUCUUCUUCCACGCUCUCUCUUCUCACCUCGCCUUCAGAUCUCUCAGCUUUUUGGGAUUCGUCGGAUGGUAAAGAGAGCAAGCCGGAUAGAGGUGAUCCCUUGGCUCGUUGAUGCAGAACACACAUUUCUACAGUGGCUCUAAACAUCUUCCCCCCUGGUUUCUCUUAUCCGAUCGCGAUUUGAUCUUACUUUAAAAAUGUAUUUGAAUGUGUCAACUUUAAUUAGUACUUUUUAAGUUUGAGAUACCAAUAUCGACUUAAAUUUAGUAUUGGGUUAGUUAGGAGGCUUAACAUAGAAAAAGGUACGAUGUUUUCCUGAGCAACCGGAAGCAUAAGUUGUGUUAAGGAUUUGAAAAUAACAUGCGCAUGCGUUCAUGGUUAUUCAUUUA